CACGUAGGAGGCAAGCGUUAUCCGGAUUUACUGGGCAUAAAGAGCGUGUAGGCGGUUCGACAAGUCGGAUGUGAAAGCUCCUGGCUCAACUGGGAGAUGCUGUUCGAAACUGUCGGGCUAGAGGACGGUAGAGGGAGAUGGAAUUCCCGGUGUAGUAGUGAAAUGCGUAGAUAUCGGGAGGAACGCCAACGGCGAAGGCAGUCUCCUGGGCCGUUCCUGACGCUAAGACGCGAAAGCAUGGGUAGCGAACGGGAUUAGAAACCCCGGUAGUCCAUGCCGUAAACGAUGCGAACUUGACGUUGGUAACGUAAAAGUUAUCGGUGUCGUAGCUAAUGCGAUAAGUUCGCCGCCUGGGGAUUACGACCGCAAGGUUAAA
rnacentral:rRNA from 1 species